UACGUAGGCAGCGAGCGUUGUUCGGAGUUACUGGGCGUAAAGGGUGUGUAGGCGGUUGUUUAAGUUUGGUGUGAAAUCUCCCGGCUCAACUGGGAGGGUGCGCCGAAUACUGAAUGACUUGGAGUGCGGGAGAGGAAAGUGGAAUUCCUGGUGUAGCGGUGAAAUGCGUAGAUAUCAGGAGGAACACCGGUGGCGAAGGCGGCCUUCUGGACAGUGACUGACGCUGAGACGCGAAAGCGUGGGGAGCAAACGGG
rnacentral:rRNA from 1 species